rnacentral:rRNA from 1 species
GUAGCGGUGAAAUGCGUAGAGAUCUGAAGGAAUACCGGUGGCGAAGGCGGCCCCCUGGACAGAUACUGACACUCAGAUGCGAAAGCGUGGGGAGCAAACAGGAUUAGAUACCCUGGUAGUCCACGCCGUAAACGAUGUCUACUUGGAGGUUGUGGCCUUGAGCCGUGGCUUUCGGAGCUAACGCGUUAAGUAGACCGCCUGGGGAGUACGGUCGCAAGAUUAAA